UUCCAACAAAUGGUAUCAUGAGCCUAAGUCUUAAGGGACCAUUGAUUUUGCUUCCCCUGCUCAACAUCGGCUCAAACUUAUGAGACCUCCAAACAAGCUUCAAUAAGCUGAAGGAGGAGUUUCAAGGAAAGGUGUGAGCUUUCCAAAUGUGCAAGCUUAGCAAGAUGUCAAAGCUGCAAGCUUAGCAAAGUGCGAGCUGAUGAAGACACCUGUUGAAGACAAUAUGCAAAGAUGUGAGUCUGUCAAAGGUGUGAGUUCAGCAACAUGUGGAAGCUCAAUGUGUGUUGUAUAGUUGCAAGCCAAAAUGGCAGAAUGAAGGCAAGCAACUAUACUCGGGAACUGUUUGUGCAAGAAGAAACAAGUUGUCAACCAAGGCUGUGAAGGAGGAGAAGACUCCAUUUGGUGAACAAAUCUUUGGCACAAAAGACUGGGAUAGUCAAGUGUGUAAGUCAGAUUUGUUGUUUGUGAAUGAGGUCAAGGUUGAAAAUGAAUUGGUCAGCUUGAAUCAAAGCAUCUAAGAGCUGCCAAGUUCAAAAAACUUGAUGAAUGACUGGUAUUUGCAGCAUGGAGUCCAAGGAGGAGUGUUGAAAAUGGCCAACCAUGCUGCUAUUAUGUUUUUGUUAAAAUGCAUGGUACUAUGAUGAUUCUGUUGAAUGUAUACUGCUUGUAUGCAUGUUGCAGCAUUUGUGCAUGUUGCAGCAACAUAUUUUCUGUUUUAGUUGCAAUGUAAUUUAGUUUGGUUGAGAAUGAACUUUGAUGUUGAUGUUUUGAUUGGUUGGUUAAGCUGAUAAGUCAGCUUAUCCAUGUGUACAAGCAAUGUUUUUAAAGUUACUAGGCUACUUAGUGGUAUUAGGUAGUAAUAACUGAUGUAGUUGGCUAUAAAUGUAUUGUUUUUCUUAUUGAAAAAUUAAGCAUAUCAGUUGUGAAACUCAGAUUGCUUCCUUGCUGCACGUUUGUGAGCAAGUAAAUUGUUUUUGUUUCUUCCUCUUUUGUUCUCUGUCUUGUUCUUUUUCUUUUUGCUGCUGCCAUUGUUCCAACAAAUGGUAUCAUGAGCCUAAGUCUUAAGGGACCAUUGAUUUUGCUUCCCCUGCUCAACAUCAGCUCAAACUUAUGAGACCUCCAAACAAGCUUCAAUAAGCUGAAGGAGGAGUUUCAAGGAAAGGUGUGAGCUUUCCAAAUAUGCAAGCUUAGCAAGAUGUCAAAGCUGCAAGCUUAGCAAAGUGCGAGCUGAUGAAGACACCUGUUGAAGACAAUAUGCAAAGAUGUGAGUCUGUCAAAGGUGUGAGUUCAGCAACAUGUGGAAG
rnacentral:lncRNA from 1 species